rnacentral:rRNA from 1 species
AAGACCUUGCGCUUUUGGAGCGGCCGAUGCCUGAUUAGCUUGUUGGUAAGGUAAAAGCUUACCAAGGCUUCGAUCAGUAGCUGGUCUGAGAGGACGGCCAGCCACACUGGGACUGAGACACGGCCCAGACUCCUACGGGAGGCAGCAGUGGGGAAUUUUGGACAAUGGGGGCAACCCUGAUCCAGCCAUGCCGCGUGAGUGAAGAAGGCCUUCGGGUUGUAAAGCUCUUUCAGCCGGAACGAAACGGUUACGGUUAAUACCCGUGAUUACUGACGGUACCGGAAGAAGAAGCACCGGCUAACUACGUGCCAGCAGCCGCGGUAAUACGUAGGGUGCGAGCGUUAAUCGGAAUUACUGGACGUAAAGCGUGCGCAGGUGGUUUUGUAAGUCAGAUGUGAAAGCCCCGGGCUCAACCUGGGAACU